UACGUAGGGGGCUAGCGUUGUCCGGAAUCAUUGGGCGUAAAGCGCGUGUAGGCGGCCCGGUAAGUCCGCUGUGAAAGUCGGGGGCUCAACCCUCGGAUGCCGGUGGAUACUGUCGGGCUAGAGUACGGAAGAGGCGAGUGGAAUUCCUGGUGUAGCGGUGAAAUGCGCAGAUAUCAGGAGGAACACCAAUUGCGAAGGCAGCUCGCUGGGACGUCACUGACGCUGAGGAGCGAAAGCGUGGGGAGCGAACAGG
rnacentral:rRNA from 1 species